CUCUCCCAGCAGACCUCGCGGCCUGGGCGGACGUGGCGCCUCCCGCUUCCCGCGGGCUGGGUCCCGGGCCGUGCUCGGAGGACGGCGGGUCCUGCGGGACUCCGCGGCCCUCAAGGAGGAACGGCCAGGCCAGAGGAGAGCAGCGGCCGUUUGGGUGCCGAGUCUUUCCUGCUCCUGCACGUCACGGGACUCGAAGAUACACACCUAAGAGUUUCCAGAGUCUGACUGGAUCCUGGAUGAGAUGCUGUUUCAGCAACAGUCCCCGGAACCUGUCACAGUUUCCUCAUCUGCUUUUGAUGUCUCCCUUCGUUCAUCCCUGUCCCGCUGCUAUCAAGAAAAGUAACACCUUGCUCAACGCUUUCUGGUAACAAGCACAUAACAUGUAACCUCCCGUUAGCAACAAGAGGCAAAUUCCUAGUCUAUCGAGUUACUGUCCCAUUUAACUAAAACUAACAUUCUUGGUUCAGUGAGACGCAGCAGGCAUAGAAGAGGUAGCCACGCAACGUGGACUGGACCCAACAAAUGACUAACAUCAGUGUGAAAGAUACAGCAAACAAAACAAAACGAAAAUUGUCAUUCUUCAAAGUCAGACCCAAACAGUUUGCUUAAACCAGGUUACUUUAGUUUUACUACUAUUACAGCCACUGGCGAGGUAACCUGCUGAGAUUUCACACUGUGUGACCUGACUACAUCAGUUAUUUUCAUAAAAUGAGCACAGGUUCAGACUGAUGAUAAUAAAGCACGAACUUCCUUUUCAACGGAACUAAAAGGCAGGAAAAAAAGGUAAUACGCCUAUAGUUGCCCUCAGGUUAAGGAAGGACAGCCAGUAAGCUAGAAAAGAAUAGAAUUAUAAUUCAAACUGGUCCUCAAGUUAUGAUAAAAUAUAAUAACAACAAUAAAUUAUGACCUAGGAUGUCAAG